rnacentral:rRNA from 1 species
UACGAAGGGGGCUAGCGUUGCUCGGAAUCACUGGGCGUAAAGCGCACGUAGGCGGAUUGUUAAGUCAGGGGGUGAAAUCCUGGAGCUCAACUCCAGAACUGCCUUUGAUACUGGCGAUCUUGAGUCCGGGAGAGGUGAGUGGAACUGCGAGUGUAGAGGUGAAAUUCGUAGAUAUUCGCAAGAACACCAGUGGCGAAGGCGGCUCACUGGCCCGGUACUGACGCUGAGGUGCGAAAGCGUGGGGAGCAAACAGG